rnacentral:lncRNA from 1 species
CUUAAUAUUCCGAUAAUUUUGUCGGUUUAUUGAAUCCAUGAGUAAAAUUUCAUUCACCACUAAGCAAACAAGAGAAGAGAAAUAUGUCAAUAUUGAAGGAAAUGAUGUAAAUUUUAGUUCUAAAAUUCCAGCUGAGAGGAACGUGUUAUCUGUGAUCGGCCGUUUUUGGCUCGGUUGUAAAGAUGACGUCAAUUUGAGCUGUGACCAACGAGCGGCUGUGACGUCAAGCGGAAUGAGCGCUUUUACCAAUGACCCUGAAACAAUGUUGCCGCUAAAUUAGUCUGCUCAUAGUAUUUUAGCAAAAUGCAUGGUACAUUUACAUUAGACUAGGCAACGCAUAAUCAGAAAAAGUGUGCCGCAAGCGUGCGACAUCAUGGCACUUCGGUAUCUAUCAAAUCCUGAGCUGUGAUUGGUUAAUGGCAACCCCACGCCUGUGACGUAGUUCCGUACUUAGGUGAGGUGUAUUAAAUCGUUGAUGGCGGAUUACGAAAUAUUUUACUGCAUGCAUUCUUGCUCUGUCGUGUUUAUGUACUAAUUUUAAAUUCUUUGGUUAGGAUGUUAUCAAAGUGAAUAGUUUCUCCUCAUCUUCAUCAGAAAGAAAUGUGAUGUAGUGUAUGCACUGGGUAUCCGUAAACUUUUAGCCUUAUCAUGGAUACCAGCCCAGCAUCGAGUAUGAAUUUUGAACGGACUUGCCGUUUGUGUGUUAAAGAAAGUACAACUCUCAACCCAAUAUGCCAUUCUGAAAACCCCCUCUAUGAUCUCAUCAAAGAAUGUGUCGAUAUUGUGGUUCGAGUUGAAGAUGAAUUACCCAAACAUGUUUGUCAAGAUUGCCUGGAUCAAAUGGAAUCAUGGAAAUCUUUCAAAACUUCUUGUCAAAAAUCAGAAGACUUUCUCUGUAGUUUUUUGAAUAGGUUACAUUGCUCAAUAUCGGUAAGACCUUUUCUUUUCAUGUGUAGAAUUGCAUUUUUUUAUCCUGAUAAGAGUUUUCUAUAAUGAUUAAUGUCCUUUGCAUAGAUGCAUCCACCCACUAUUUACUUGAACUCAGAUCAUUGAGCUAGACAACUUAUUUUUCACGGAAAAAAUGUGUCUAACUGGAAAGUGUUAUGCCUAAGGUUGAAAACUGAAAAUCUAACUUUAUGCGCCUUGUAUCCCUCACGUUUUAAAUCAACCCCUUAUUUUAAAAAAAACUCGGAAGAGGGAACACCUCUGGUAUAAGUAUCACUGACAGUCAUUAGUACAUACUAUCUUGCUUGAAUAAAAAGUAAAUUUUAAGGUUGAAAACUGAAAAUCUGACUUUCUGCGCCUUGUAUCCUUCACAUUUUAAAUUAACUCGGGCUGUGCGAGCACUCGAUAUUCGAGCUCGAGCUCGAGCCCGGCGCCAAGCUCGAGCUCGGCUCGAAGGUUUAAUUCAAGCUCGAGCUCGGCUCGAAGGUAUCGAGUUUGAGAAAUGUCCAAAUCAUAUAAAAUAGACAAGUUUAAAGGAAAAUGAAGAGAGACAAUGUACGUAAUAAAACCGGGAAGAAAUGCAUCAUUAAAUUUUUAAAAAGCUCGAGCUCGACUCGGGCUCGAUCCUAUUCACAAGCUCGAAAAAAGCUCGAGCUCGGCUCGAAAAAGUCUAAAAAAGCUCGAGCUCGGCUCGAACCUAUAAAAUCAGGCUCGCACAGCCCUAAAAUUAACCCUUUUUCCUUUUUUUUUCCUUGUAUCCCUCACGUUUUAAAUUAACUCUCAGUAUUAUUUCACUAUUUCAAAAAGUCACCUGUGAAGCGAGAAGGUACUCACUAUUUCUCAGAUUAUCAUGGCACAGAAUUUUAAACUAUCUGUUGGAAAAUAUCUUUCGGAUAAUUGGUUUAACUUUGUUCUUCUUUCUCUUUUAAGGAUAAUGGAGAUGCAACAAAUCUCAAAGGAAAUGAUUCCAGAGAGAAAAGUGAUAAAAGCAUUCCGGAGGAGGAAGAACCCAGUUCUAGAAAGUGUGAUUCAAAAAGAAACGUAGUAAAGAGGAAGAAAACAGCUGCAAUUCUAAAGACCAAUCCCAAGAGGAAAAAGGAUCUACGUCUGAAGAGCAAAUACAAAUUGAAGAAACUUAUCAUAUUGAAGAAGAAGAUGAGGACAGAGAAACUUCUCAAACAGGAGAGAAUCCUCAGAACGAAGAGGAAGGCGAAAAUGAUGAAAGUUCCCAGAUUGAAGGGCAAAUCAUGGUAUGUGAUGACAACAGUGGGAGCUCGACUGAAAGUGCCGACAGCGUUGAGUGUAUUGAUACCACAAAAAAUGACCCGCCCAAGAAAAAUCAAAGUCCUUUGAUCCGACUCGCUGACCCUGAGGCUUUUAAGCUGUUAAUUGAAGCAGAGUUUUUAGAAAGUAAGUUUUAACCUGCUGCACCUCUUUGUUUUCUUUUCUGUUUUUAUCCUUCCUCUUAGGAGCAAUACCUUUUAGUAAGCUACAUGUUAUGCUUUGAUGUAUAAAUUAAAGUAGAGCACAGAGAAAUUAAAAUCACAAGUAAUUGGACAUUUCUACUUCACAGAAACAUUGCAAAUUGUUAAAAAAUGUGCUACAACUGGUGAUUCAAGAUUUUCACUUCAAUUUUCUUUUUUCAAGUAAAAUUAUUUGCAUAUCGGUAACCGAAGUCGACAAAUACUUAGGUAUCUCAUUGCAAUAUGGUCAGUUUCUGCUCAUUCUUUAUAUUUUAAAGGAUACUUAACCAAUAUUUUCUAUUGAAAUUUACUGCAAACUUUUCCCGCUC